rnacentral:rRNA from 1 species
CAGGCCUAACACAUGCAAGUCGAGGGGUAGAAGUCUUCGGGCUUUGAGACCGGCGCACGGGUGCGUAACGCGUAUGCAAUCUGCCUUACACUAAGGGAUAGCCCAGAGAAAUUUGGAUUAAUACCUUAUAGUAUAUUGAUGUGGCAUCACAUUAUUAUUAAAGAUUUAUCGGUGUAAGAUGAGCAUGCGUCCCAUUAGCUAGUUGGUAUGGUAACGGCAUACCAAGGCAAUGAUGGGUAGGGGUCCUGAGAGGGAGAUCCCCCACACUGGUACUGAGACACGGACCAGACUCCUACGGGAGGCAGCAGUGAGGAAUAUUGGACAAUGGGCGCAAGCCUGAUCCAGCCAUGCCGCGUGCAGGAUGACGGUCCUAUGGAUUGUAAACUGCUUUUAUACAGGAAGAAACCCUCCCACGUGUGGGAGAUUGACGGUACUGUAGGAAUAAGGAUCGGCUAACUCCGAGCCAGCAGCCGCGGUAAUACGGAGGAUCCAAGCGUUAUCCGGAAUCAUUGGGUUUAAAGGGUCCGUAGGCGGUCUUAUAAGUCAGUGGUGAAAUCCCAUCGCUCAACGAUGGAACUGCCAUUGAUACUGUAAGACUUGAAUACUUAGGAAGUAACUAGAAUAUGUAGUGUAGCGGUGAAAUGCUUAGAUAUUACAUGGAAUACCAAUUGCGAAGGCAGGUUACUACUAAGUGAUUGACGCUGAUGGACGAAAGCGUGGGGAGCGAACAGGAUUAGAUACCCUGGUAGUCCACGCCGUAAACGAUGGAUACUAGCUGUUCGGAGCAAUCUGAGUGGCUA